UUACUAGAUAAGAAUUCAAUUGUCUCUAUCAUCUUCGCAGCGAGCCCGAGCCUUGGGGCAGGAGAGUUGGCGCCGUGGGUCGGUAGUAUCCGGACCUGGAUCCGCCGCUGGUUUCAAUGGCGGAACACACUAGUAAAGACCUCUUGGAGCUGGAGGCCAAGCGAGGCGGCGUCUCCUCCGCCUCAAACUUAGAAUCACUCUUUGUAUGCAAGAAAGAUCCCACCUUUACUCCUUCUGAUGCUUCUCGUCAGAAGCCCACCACGGCUCCUCUGCCCAAGAGCCAAUUUCUGGGAAAGGUGAAAGACUUCUUAGGAGUUUUAUCAGAAUCGAACAAGAAACUGAUGGAGGAUGCAAAGGAUCGUCCCGAUAACUAUGACAUUGAAGUGAUCAGCAGAGACGAGUCUACAUACAUCGAGAUGGAUCUGAUGUUGGGUAUUGCUGAUCUUCACACCCCUGAGGCAGUUGCUGCAGCCGAGUCUGCAAUGGCCGGUUAUCAGCCACCAGCUCGUCUGGAGGAGAGCAGCAGUGGAUCAGAAGACGAAGAUAGCAGUGAUGACGAAGAAGAUGGGAAUCACAAAUCAGAUUCUGAAGCCGGCUCAGAAUCUGCGAAGCUCGGGUUGAAGGCAGGAGAUUCUUCAUGUCGAAAAUCGAAGAAGCGGAAGGCCAAAAUCAUCGAGCUUUAAAUUUGCACAAAAGUCUCAAGAUUUGACAUUGUUUCAGCUAUGGAUUUUGGUGAUGCUGAGUUUUAAGCAUUUGUUUGCCUAUAUGUUGGUCGAUUGUGCCUCUUCUGAUUUCGAGGUAGAACUUUUCAAACACCCCCAUCUCUUGUUGCUACAAGUUCAGAACUCCUUUU